GACGAACGCUGGCGGCGUGCUUAACACAUGCAAGUCGAACGGAAAGGCCCUGCUUUUGUGGGGUGCUCGAGUGGCGAACGGGUGAGUAACACGUGAGUAACCUGCCCUUGACUUUGGGAUAACUUCAGGAAACUGGGGCUAAUACCGGAUAGGAGCUCCUGCUGCAUGGUGGGGGUUGGAAAGUUUCGGCGGUUGGGGAUGGACUCGCGGCUUAUCCGCUUGUUGGUGGGGUAGUGGCUUACCAAGGCUUUGACGGGUAGCCGGACUGAGAGGGUGACCGGCCACAUUGGGACUGGGAUACGGCCCGUACUCCUACGGGAGGCAGCAGUGGGAAAUAUUGCACACUGGGCGGAAGCCUUAUGCAGCAACGCCGCGUGCGGGAUGACGGCCUUCGGGUUGUAAACCGCUUUCGCCUGUGACGAAGCGUGAGUGACGGUAAUGGGUAAAGAAGCACCGGCUAACUACGUG
rnacentral:rRNA from 1 species